GGCCAUAUUACAUUGAAACACUGGUUCUCGUCCAAUCACUGAAGUUAAGCAACGUUGAGACUGGUCAGUACCUAGAUAGGUGACCGUUCUGAAAUACCAGGUACU